UGGGGGAUAUUGCACAAUGGGCGAAAGCCUGAUGCAGCGACGCCGCGUGGGGGAUGAAGGCUUUCGGGUUGUAAACCUCUUUCGCUAUCGAACAAGGCCCGCUUAGGGUGGGUCGAGGGGAGGUGGAGAAGAAGCGCCGGCUAACUACGUGCCAGCAGCCGCGGUAAUACGUAGGGCGCGAGCGUUGUCCGGAAUUAUUGGGCGUAAAGGGCUUGUAGGCGGCUUGUUGCGCCUGCUGUGAAAACGCGGGGCUUAACUUCGCGCGUGCAGUGGGUACGGGCAGGCUUGAGUGUGGUAGGGGUGACUGGAAUUCCAGGUGUAGCGGUGGAAUGCGCAGAUAUCUGGAGGAACACCGAUGGCGAAGGCGGGUCACUGGGCCGUUACUGACGCUGAGGAGCGAAAGCAUGGGUAGCAAACAGG
rnacentral:rRNA from 1 species